AUGGAGUCUCUGAAGCUGGAUGUCAAAACUCUGCAGCGACAAAGAGAAGAAGACCGUAAGGAAUUCUCGGAUUUCUCCAAGCAAGCUAACACCAACUUCAUGGUCAUGCAAGGUUACUUCACAAACAUGCAAGCUAGCCACCUGGAUAAGCUCAUCUCUGCAAUAGUUACUGAGCCAAGAACAUAUGAGGAACACACUCCUCCUGGAAGUAUCCGAUUUGGGGAUUUACCUGCAACACCUACUCAGGGUGCAGUGAACAAAGAAGUGCCUAAUUCAUCCCCAGGGCAGGGCAAUGUCAACAUUGCAGAGAAACCAGAUCUCGCCUAG
rnacentral:rRNA from 1 species